rnacentral:tRNA from 1 species
GCCUGGCUAGCUCAGCUGGUAGAGCACACGACUCUUGAUCUUGGGUUGUGAGUUCAAACAUCACAUUGGGCA